UAGGUUUCAACUGAAUACUCUACUUAUUUUCUGACAAAUACCAUGCAUAACCGAGCAACUAAUUCUGUUUUUUAAACUAGACCAAGCACCUACUGGUGAAAUGGACGUGAACCUUCAGAAAUCAAAUGUCCUCAUAUAGUAAUAUAUUUUACAUGUCUUCUAAUUUUUGAGUCCGUGAAAUACCUGAUGUACGUAGUGCAUAUGAUAUUUUGUAAACUGUAUGUGCUGGAUAGGUGGUUCUUAUGCUGCAAGGUAAUCGGGAGGCCUGCUCCUCCCCCGCAUAUGCCGCAUAAGUUAAGAUGUUGCCUGCCAAGCCCACAUAUUAUUAAGUGGGAUGUACUCUAAACUUAUAAUCAUUUAGUAUGAUGUAAUGCUAAAACAGUGAUUUAUUAUACAACACGAUGGUACUUUUGGAUGGUAGUACGUUAAUUUAUUAGGAUGUAGUACUGAUACACUGAUUCAUUCGACUACUAGUGCUGGAUGGAUUUUCAGGUUGGACAGAUCACUGUACUGCUGUGCAACUUCCCCUAGCUUCACAUUGCAAGCCCAAUGAUUCUUGUGCCUGGGAUACCCACAUAAAACAGGUUGUUAUUUUUACUUGCCGCCAUUCACCAUCCAACUGGAGUUUUGCAACAUGCAAAUUGCAUGUACGUCUGUUAGGUCAGCAGCAUGCUAAUUGCCUGAGCUUGAGUACCACAAAUGUGAAGUUUUGACUUUCCUAUUGUAAUGGUUAGCGUGAAACUAGAAAUUGCUUCAAAACCUACCUGAAAGUUUCUUGCUUUGACACAGUCUUACUAGAUGGUACAGUGGCUGUCGUCCAGAAAAUAAAUCUCUUUGGAAAAUAAAUAUUACGAGACUACUCUGAACAAUACUACUCCUUCAACUUGUACAUACUCCUAGGCUGUUGCUGUAUGGUUCCAAAAAUCCCAGAUAAAAAUCUGGAUGACAUUUACAUCUGUAGAGUAUGACUUGUUGUUUAUCCUGUUAAUUCAGUUGACUUUCUCUCUUGAAAUCUAGCCAAACACAGAAACAAGCACACUGCCGUAUUUGUACCGGCAAGAUCUCUUUUCACACCAUCUAGUCCAAAACAGAAAGCUGUUGUAUUCUCUGAUGAACUUCAAGGCAACGAAAAUGCAGCAGGAUAUAUGCAAGAUUCCUUGGGUACUUUGCACAAGAUAUUCAUGACACGCAAGCAGAGCCAUAUUAACAUAGAUAUAUUAAUCCUACUUGUUGCCUCUCACAACUGCAUGAGAUGAUAGUUGCCAUGAAGAGCAUUGAUUGCAAGAAAUUGAAUAAGAAACUUUUAUAUAUGUUGUUGAUGUAAAUUGGAUUGUGCUGGUCCUAAACUUGCUAUGUGUUGUAUUUUGUCAAUUCGUGUUGUAAAUUAUCAUUUCAUGGAGGAUUUUGUAAACUGCUAUGUUGUACAUAUUGGUAGAUGGCUGCAUAAGUACUACAUGAUCUUUCUAUUUUA